CUCCCCCUAGGUGUAUGCGUUUAGAACUUUGUUUCGAUUUCUAAUAAAACUUCCGCAAUAAGUAUAUGAGUUCUUCAUGACUAAUGUGAGUCCAUGGUAUAGAUGCACUUUCACCUUCCACCAUUUCUAGCCUCUCUAGUGCCACGCAACUUUCACCGGUACACAAACCCACCAUAUACCUUUCUCAAAAAGCCACCAUACCUACCUAUUAUGGCAUUUUCAUAAGCCAUUCCGAGAUAUAUUGCCAUGCAACUCCCACCGUUCCGUCUCAUGACUUGUGACUUCACUUACAUAUUGCCAUUGCAUGAUCGUAAGAUAGCUAGCGAGAUGUUUCAACGUCAUACGCCAAGCUAGAUCGUUGCACAUCCCGGUACACCGCCAGAGGCAUUUCCUAUAGAGUCAUCAUUGCUCUAAGUAUUGAGUUGUGAGUAAAUAAAAGUGUGAUGAUCAUCAUUAUUAGAGCAUUGUACCAUGUUAGGAAAAAUGAAAAGAGGCCAAAGAUGCCCACCAAAAAAA
rnacentral:lncRNA from 1 species